UCAUGGCUCAGGACGAACGCUGGCGGCGUGCCUAAUACAUGCAAGUAGAACGCUGAAGACUGGUGCUUGCACUAGUCAGAUGAGUUGCGAACGGGUGAGUAACGCGUAGGUAACCUACCUCAUAGCGGGGGAUAACUAUUGGAAACGAUAGCUAAUACCGCAUGACAAUUAAGUACUCAUGUACUAAAUUUAAAAGGAGCAAUUGCUUCACUAUGAGAUGGACCUGCGUUGUAUUAGCUAGUUGGUGAGGUAACGGCUCACCAAGGCCACGAUACAUAGCCGACCUGAGAGGGUGAUCGGCCACACUGGGACUGAGACACGGCCCAGACUCCUACGGGAGGCAGCAGUAGGGAAUCUUCGGCAAUGGGGGCAACCCUGACCGAGCAACGCCGCGUGAGUGAAGAAGGUUUUCGGAUCGUAAAGCUCUGUUGUUAGAGAAGAACGGUAAUGGGAGUGGAAAAUCCAUUACGUGACGGUAACUAACCAGAAAGGGACGGCUAACUACGUGCCAGCAGCCGCGGUAAUACGUAGGUCUCGAGCGUUGUCCGGAUUUAUUGGGCGUAAAGCGAGCGCAGGCGGUUAUUUAAGUCUGAAGUUAAAGGCCGUGGCUCAACCAUGGUUCGCUUUGGAAACUGGAUAACUUGAGUGCAGAAGGGGAGAGUGGAAUUCCAUGUGUAGCGGUGAAAUGCGUAGRUAUAUGGAGGAACACCGGUGGC
rnacentral:rRNA from 1 species